rnacentral:lncRNA from 12 species
CUUCUCCAUUUCCUAUCUCUUUUCAUUUGGCAACGUUUGUCUCAGUGAGGAGGAUUGGACCUCGUCUGUGGGUAUUACAAUGGGAGGGGACGUGUUUGGGAGGGAGCAAGAGAGCUGAGAGCAAGAGAGAAAGCAUCUGCUCUGAAAGUUGGAGGCACAAUUCUGUUAACUCACACAGCAUCUUCCAGUACCUGUGUCAAGCCUUCUGCAGCUGCUGCCAGGUAAAAUGAUGUACUCCCACAAAAUCAGGUGAUUUUUU